rnacentral:lncRNA from 1 species
AUAAAUAGGAUAAAACUGAAAAAAUCAUUCAUUAAUUAUUUUUUUAUAUUUUCAAAAUCAAAUAUGUUUGCGGAAGGAGAGAGUACUAAACAAGCUCUCAACCAUAUUAGCAAAUUAACAGUACUUUGGGUUAGGCCCAACCCAAGAAAAAACCAGAACUUGAGGGAUGUAGAUAGUUUUGUCCUCAGAUCCACAGACACAGACACCAACGACAGAGAUGGGCUGACCUUGGAAUAUGACACAGCCUCACCAAUAAAGAAUGCCAUUCGUCCAAGCUUCAAACAAAUAGUCCACAAUGAAUAUUAUUUCCAAGUUAAACAUUAAAAUAAUUACGAUACCUUUUGACUUUCAAGCAGUAUGACAGGCAAAUUGCUUAAUCUUUUGCCCCCUGUUUGUGACUCUGGCUUUCCAGUCAACUGCCAUGUUAUACAGUUCAACUCUGUAAAUGAAAUUCAAAAAGCAAAAGUUCAUUACCAACUUGAUGCGGAUAGAAAUUGUAAAAUAAGUACAGAAACUUACCUUCUUUACAAAGCCUUCCAGAUGGGAGCGUGAACCAAAAUAAGUUCCAUGGAGAGACUUAAGUAGCUUAUCAACUGUAUAAUCACAUCCUCCUUUGACCAAGACUGUUUAAAACAGCUAACAUCCGAAUGUCAAUCUUAGUAGGAAUUUUUGCAAGAUUGGUAGAUGAGUCAAAUCCAGAUUCGACCCGGCAGCAGUUUUCCUGUUUUUCCUAAUG